rnacentral:rRNA from 1 species
UACGAAGGGGGCUAGCGUUGCUCGGAAUCACUGGGCGUAAAGCGCACGUAGGCGGAUUGCUAAGUCAGGGGUGAAAUCCUGGAGCUCAACUCCAGAACUGCCUUUGAUACUGGCGACCUUGAGUCCGAUAGAGGUGGGUGGAAUUCCUAGUGUAGAGGUGAAAUUCGUAGAUAUUAGGAAGAACACCGGUAGCGAAGGCGGCCCACUGGAUCGGUACUGACGCUGAGGUGCGAAAGCGUGGGGAGCAAACAGG